UCAUUGUUAGAUCCUUGCCUUUUGGGACAAUGGCCAUUGCACAUGUACAAUGCCAAGGAAAAUGGUGCCAAGGCUGUGUGCUGCUAUUUGUUGAAGGAAGAUUAAAUACAACUGCACUGCAUGAAGGAGAAGACACCUGGGGAGAACUAAGAGCUUUGGGAGACCCAGAACAAAAAUUGGACACAGGAAGAAGAGCCAGAUUUCUUACUCUCAUGUCAUAUACUGGGAAUGGUUAAACUGAAGGAAGACAGGAAAAAAAGUGAGCCCAUAUGAAAAUAUUGAAAAAAAUACACACUUGGGAUGGAAACAUCAGGGUAGUCCUUGUAUAUUCUGAACAUGUCACUGGUUAUACAAAGGCAUCUGUAAUAGAAGCUGCAUCAAUAUUUUGAUAACAAAAUUACACUUGUAGCAGAGGAACUGGAACACUGUUGGCAUCCAGGCUACUUUGCUUAUCAGUGGAUGUCAGAAUUAAACCUCAGUGCAUGGAAUCAAGCCUCAGCACCAUGUAAAGUUUCUGCACAA